CCUCAGCUCCCAUUGACCCAGUAACCACCUUCUCCCUCAGCCACAGAUGCCUUGAAGCCUUGUUCUCUCAAGGUACACAACCUCAAUCUCUUAGGGCAAGCUCCAACACCGACUCUGCCAUUCAGAUGGUAGAGAUAGGGUUGCUGCGUUUUGUGAUCAAAGUUCGAGACACUGGGCGUCAGCUGACGUCUGGGAGGAGUACGCUGCACAAGAGGGACAUGGGGAGACGUCGCUUCUGAACACCGAACGAUGAAUGAGAGGGUUACAGGCAGUGGAGCUGCGGCGACACAAACAUAGAUCAGAACCGCCUCAUUGAUUUUCCGAAGGCUCCAGGAGGUGAACGGCCUCAAGACCAAGAAGCCCAGCGAUUGUGAACAUCGAGACGAGUGAAUAUUCACCACCAUCUUCCAGCCUCUCAUUGGCUGCUGCCGGAGGAAGGAGACUGAGUGUGACAGUCUCUCUCCCUCUGCUGCUGAGGGAAGGUCCCUGUGUUCGAAUGGUCACUCUCUCUCCCUCUGCUGCGGAGGGAAGGUCCCUGUGUUCGAAUGGUCUCUCUCUCUCUCCCUCAAUGCUCCUGAGGGAAAGUCCCUGUGUUCGAAUGGUCUCUCUCUCUCCCUCAAUGCUCCUGAGGGAAGGUCCCUGUGUUCGAAUGGUCUCUCUCUCUCCCUCGAUGCUCCUGAGGGAAGGUCCCUGUGUUCGAAUGGUCACUCUCUCUCCCUCUGCUGCUGAGGGAAGGUCCCUGUGUUUGAAUGGUCACUCUCUCUCCCUCGAUGCUGAGGGAAGGUCCCUGUGUUCGAAUGGUCACUCUCUCUCCCUCGAUGCUGAGGGAAGGUCCCUGUGUUCGAAUGGUCACUCUCUCUCCCUCGAUGCUGAGGGAAGGUCCCUGUGUUCGAAUGGUCACUCUCUCUCCCUCGAUGCUCCUGAGGGAAGGUCCCUGUGUUCGAAUGGUCACUCUCUCUCCCUCUGCUGCUGAGGGAAGGUCCCUGUGUUCGAAUGGUCACUCUCUCUCCCUCGAUGCUGAGGGAAGGUCCCUGUGUUCGAAUGGUCACUCUCUCUCCCUCGAUGCUGAGGGAAGGUCCCUGUGUUCGAAUGGUCACUCUCUCUCCCUCGAUGCUGAGGGAAGGUCCCUGUGUUCGAAUGGUCACUCUCUCUCCCUCGAUGCUGAGGGAAGGUCCCUGUGUUCGAAUGGUCACUCUCUCUCCCUCGAUGCUCCUGAGGGAAGGUCCCUGUGUUCGAAUGGUCACUCUCUCUCCCUCGAUGCUGCUGAGGGAAGGUCCCUGUGUUCGAAUGGUCACUCUCUCUCCCUCGAUGCUCCUGAGGGAAGGUCCCUGUGUUCGAAUGGUCUCUCUCUCUCCCUCGAUGCUCCUGAGGGAAGGUCCCUGUGUUCGAAUGGUCACUCUCUCUCCCUCGAUGCUGCUGAGGGAAGGUCCCUGUGUUCGAAUGGUCACUCUCUCUCCCUCGAUGCUGAGGGAAGGUCCCUGUGUUCGAAUGGUCACUCUCUCUCCCUCGAUGCUGCUGAAGAAAGGUCCCUGUGUUCGAAUGGUCACUCUCUCUCCCUCGAUGCUGUGAGAGGACGGUAUCAAAGUUGAGGGUCUGCGGUCUGUGGAUUAGACUGUAGUUCCCGGUCGCUCCAUUUUCCUUUCGGUAUUUUGGGCGACUUUGAAUGGGGGCUGCCUGCAGAUAACCAACACUGAGCUGGGCUGAAUAUGGACUCCUUUGAUCGUGGGCUUUAUUUUUUGUAUUUUUGCUCGUUCUGUUUAGCUGCCAUUUGCGUGAUUUGUUUUUUGCGCAUAAGGGGUCGUUAAUGCUUUUCCUUGAACGGGUUCCAGGGCGUUUCUUUGUUUGGUGGCUGUCUGUGGGAAGAUGAAUCUCAGGGUUGUACACUGCGUACUGACUUUGAUAAGAAAUGCACAAAGAUAAUAAAUCUUUGAACCUAU